rnacentral:rRNA from 1 species
GGCAACCCUGACGGAGCAACGCCGCGUGGGGGAGGAAUGUCUGUGGAUUGUAAACCCCUUUUCUCAGGGAAGAAGUUCUGACGGUACCUGAGGAAUCAGCAUCGGCUAACUCCGUGCCAGCAGCCGCGGUAAGACGGAGGAUGCAAGCGUUAUCCGGAAUUAUUGGGCGUAAAGCGUCCGUAGGCGGUUUAUCAAGUCUGCCGUUAAAGACUGCAGCUUAACUGUGGGCGAGCGGUGGAAACUGAUGAACUAGAGUACGGUAGGGGUAGAGGGAAUUCCCAGUGUAGCGGUGAAAUGCGUAGAUAUUGGGAAGAACACCAGUGGCGAAGGCGCUCUACUGGGCCGUAACUGACGCUGAGGGACGAAAGCUAGGGGAGCG